rnacentral:rRNA from 1 species
AUUGAACGCUGGCGGAAUGCUUUACACAUGCAAGUCGAACGGCAGCACGGACUUCGGUCUGGUGGCGAGUGGCGAACGGGUGAGUAAUGUAUCGGAACGUGCCCAGUCGUGGGGGAUAACGUAGUGAAAAUUACGCUAAUACCGCAUACGAUCUAUGGAUGAAAGCGGGGGAUCGCAAGACCUCGCGCGAUUGGAUCGGCCGAUAUCAGAUUAGGUAGUUGGUGGGGUAAAGGCCCACCAAGCCAACGAUCUGUAGCUGGUCUGAGAGGACGACCAGCCACACUGGAACUGAGACACGGUCCAGACUCCUACGGGAGGCAGCAGUGGGGAAUUUUGGACAAUGGGCGCAAGCCUGAUCCAGCCAUUCCGCGUGCAGGAUGAAGGCCCUCGGGUUGUAAACUGCUUUUGUACAGAACGAAAAGGUUUCUACUAAUACUAGGAGCUCAUGACGGUACUGUAAGAAUAAGCACCGGCUAACUACGAGCCAGCCGCCGCUGUAA